rnacentral:rRNA from 1 species
GACGAACGCUGGCGGCGUGCUUAACACAUGCAAGUCGAACGAAGUGGCGAACGGGUGAGUAACGCGUAAUCAACCUGCCCUUCAGAGGGGGACAACAGUUGGAAACGACUGCUAAUACCGCAUACUGAAGGAGGGGAGUGCGUCUGAUUAGCUAGUUGGAGUGGUAACGGCCCACCAAGGCGAUGAUCAGUAGCCGGUCUGUGAGGAUGACCGGCAAUAUGGGGACUUAGACACGGCCCAGACGCCUACGGGAGGCAGCAGUUGGGAAGCUGCCGCAAUGGACGAAAGUCUGACUGAGCAACGCCGCGUGAGUGAGGACGGCCUUCGGGUGGUAAAGCUCUGUUAAUCGGGACGCGGUACCGGAAUAGAAAGCCACGGCUAACUACGUGCCAGCAGCCGCGGUAAUUC